CCGCGUGUAUUUCCAAGUUAGCGAAGGGUUUGAAUGAUCAAUUUCGCUAGACUUUGAGCCUAAUUGGACAAGAAAAUAUAUAAGGUGCUAAUCUGCUACUCCACUAUAAACAUUAGGGUAAGAAAUAGCUAUUUCCCAACAGCAACGCAACGGUCAAAUUUUAUGACCUCUGUUUUUUUCUUCUUUUGAAAUCUUAUGAUCUUUGCUUUAAAUAUUAAUCAACUCUUUUACAAAUACCAACGUAAAAUUGUAUAAGCUCUGCUUUCACAAAGAAAACAAAGAACUAAAUUUAAAAAAUAAAAAAACAGAGGAUUUCCUCUAACUCUCUCUUCAAUUUUUUCUGUGAUUUUUUCUCUUUUCCCUUAAACUUCUUUGUUUGAUGGAUUCUUACACAUAUAUUUCUUUUUCAAUAAUGGGUUAUUGUGUAUUCAGUAUUGAUAUUUGUGUGUAAUGUAUUUUUAAUCUGAUAUUAUUAAUUUUCGUUUUAAUUUUAUUUUUUUAUAUUCUCAUUGGUUUUUCUGUUCCAAAAAGAACAGAUCUUCAUGUUUAUCUGAUGCAUGCCUUGUUAUUAUUAUUUUUUUCUUUUUAUACCUUGUUAAUUUGUCUUCAUGUUCAUGUUUUGAAAUGCAUGCGAUUUCCAGAAAAGCAAAAGAACUCGACUAAUUCAAUUUGGUUUCUGCACCUGGAAAAGUUCAGUACACUAGGCUCCGAAAGAUUUUGGCUUCUGUUCUUUUGAGGUGUUAAAUUAAGUGAAUUGUGAAUUGGACUGUUACCAUAUUAUUGUUUAUUAGAUUUCAAUGGUGCCCAAAUAUAUCUGUUCUUAAAUUUUAUUUCUGUAACUUUAACACAUGUUUAUUUGUCAUAUUGCAGCAAUGAUCGGUGGUUUCACAUUGGCCAAAUGAAAUUUAAGCAUUUGCCCAUUUUGGUGAAGCCUAAAGGGACCAUCUUCAUGCAGUAAUAUUUUAGCUACCUAUUUAUUUUGUCAGGCUCUAUUGAGGUAUUUUAAAUUCAGGCGGGAUCGAGCCUGAAGAAAAUAAGUUGAACAGGAACAAAUAGUUGGGCCGGAUCAUAUCAAACCCCAUUAAAAGUGCAGGGAGAAAUCAAAUUCAAUUCAAAGAGUUGGAUCGCUGCUGCGAUGAUUAUGGUGACAAACAGUCAUCUCACUGCUUUGGAUUAAGGUGGAAUCUUGGAUUUCCUAUCUUUUUCUUAAAAAUGUAUUACAAUUCUGCUAAUAGAGUUGCCUACUAAGAUUUUUGUGGUUUUAA